UUGCGACGACAUUACGUUGAAUCACCGGUUUCCAUACGAUCACUGAAGUUAAGCAACAUCGAGACUGGUCAGUACAUAGACGGGUGACCGCUUGGGAAUACUAGGUGCUGGAA